rnacentral:pre_miRNA from 1 species
GAGAGGUACGGAAUGCUUGUAUGUGACCUUGAACUUCAUGGAAGCAUUUGGCGUACAUCUAAA